UGGGGAAUAUUGCGCAAUGGGGGAAACCCUGACGCAGCAACGCCGCGUGGGUGAUGAAGGUCCUCGGAUUGUAAAGCCCUGUUUUCUGGGACGAUAAUGACGGUACCAGAGGAGGAAGCCACGGCUAACUACGUGCCAGCAGCCGCGGUAAUACGUAGGUGGCGAGCGUUGUCCGGAUUUACUGGGCGUAAAGGGUGCGUAGGCGGAUGUUUAAGUGGGAUGUGAAAUACCCGGGCUCAACUUGGGUGCUGCAUUCCAAACUGGAAGUCUAGAGUGUGGGAGAGGAAAGUGGAAUUCCUAGUGUAGCGGUGAAAUGCGUAGAGAUUAGGAAGAACACCAGUGGCGAAGGCGACUUUCUGGACCAUAACUGACGCUGAGGCACGAAAGCGUGGGGAGCAAACAGGAUUAGAUACCCUGGUAGUCCACGCCGUAAACGAUGGAUACUAGGUGUGGGGAGGUUUAACUCCUUCCGUGCCGCCGUUAACACAUUAAGUAUCCCGCCUGGGGAGUACGGUCGCAAGAUUAAAACUCAAAGGAAUGGACGG
rnacentral:rRNA from 1 species